rnacentral:rRNA from 1 species
GACGAACCGUGCGAACGUUAUUCGGAUUCACUGGGCUUAAAGGGCGCGUAGGCGGGUGGCCAAGUCAGAGGUGAAAUCUUUCGGCUCAACCGGAAAAGUGCCCCUGAUACUGGCCGUCUUGAGGGAGGUAGGGGCAUGUGGAACUUCCGGUGGAGCGGUGAAAUGCGUAGAUAUCGGAAGGAACGCCGGUGGCGAAAGCGACGUGCUGGACCUUCACUGACGCUGAGGCGCGAAAGCCAGGGGAGCAAACGGG